rnacentral:ncRNA from 2 species
UUUUCAAAAUAGGGGUGCUGAUGCACGCAUCGGCUGAGAACGUUUUCGUAACCCAUAACCUGAUUCGGAUAAUGCCGACGGAGGGAAAUAUUUAUUCUCUUUA